UACGUAGGGUGCAAGCGUUGUCCGGAAUUAUUGGGCGUAAAGAGCUUGUAGGCGGUUUGUCGCGUCUGCUGUGAAAUUUCGGGGCUCAACCCCGAACUUGCAGUGGGUACGGGCAGACUAGAGUGUGGUAGGGGAGACUGGAAUUCCUGGUGUAGCGGUGAAAUGCGCAGAUAUCAGGAGGAACACCGAUGGCGAAGGCAGGUCUCUGGGCCACUACUGACGCUGAGACACGAAAGCGUGGGUAGCAAACAGG
rnacentral:rRNA from 1 species